rnacentral:tRNA from 3 species
GGCGGCGUAGCUCAGGCGGUCAGAGCACACGACUCAUAAUCGUGGUGUCGUGGGUUCGAGUCCCACCGCCGCCACCA